GGGCCCAGCCCGCGCCGCGGAAGGACCAUGCAGGCCGCCGCCCGCCAGGACGAUCAGAGACCUCGAUUUCCCCAUCUGGAAAAAAAGGAUGAAAUCCUUGCUGUCUUGUGGCCUGCGAGUCCCGUGAUGUAUCCGAUCUGAUUAUCAGGGAGAAUAUGUCUGAUUAUAUUAAUGUCCGUCUCCCCCUUCUAAACGCGUUUGGCACGUAGGAAACGCGUAGUGGAUAUCGAAUUAUCCUUUUCCCUACGGUGGCAAUUGGCGCCUGGGGGAAAUGGGGUGAGCCGAGCCGGAUCGUGACUUCUGGGGGUCGCGGACCCGACCCUCCAGCUCCCGGACUGAAAAAGGUGGACCAUCUCCUCCUGGACCAGGACAAGAGACAGCAGACAAGAAUGUCAUCCUUACAUUCCUGAGAGCGUUGAGGUGCUGGCUACAGUAUCUGGAAGUGCCCUCCUCUAGUUGGGUGCUGCGUGCAUGAAGCUGAGGGCUAAUGGAUCCAGUUCCGAGAUUCCUCCGACAACUCCGGGCGACCGGCAUUUAGACGCCAGGGAAGAGGGUUUGACAGAUUCAUCAAGAGUGAACUGAAGGUUUCAACUGGUGCCAGAAUUUCCAGAGACCUUAUUUGAAUACCACCGCUGUCUGACUCCACCCACCCCCCAAUAAAAAACUACUGCAUCAAAACAA